rnacentral:rRNA from 1 species
ACGUAGGGGGCAAGCGUUAUCCGGAUUUACUGGGUGUAAAGGGAGCGUAGACGGCGAUGCAAGUCUGAAGUGAAAUACCCGGGCUCAACCUGGGAACUGCUUUGGAAACUGUAUGGCUAGAGUGCUGGAGAGGUAAGCGGAAUUCCUAGUGUAGCGGUGAAAUGCGUAGAUAUUAGGAAGAACACCAGUGGCGAAGGCGGCUUACUGGACAGUAACUGACGUUCAGGCUCGAAAGCGUGGGGAGCAAACAG